GGCAGAUAUUGGCAGUGUCCCGAAGAAUUGACUAAAACAUUAGUGUGAAAUGUAGCAUCAAAUCUUUCAUCAGCACUGUUAUAGAGAAGAAUAUCUGGCUUCCAAAUCAGUCCAUCAGGAAAACGGACGUUCUUCACUCCAGGGUAUUCAGACACAUUCCACUGUAAGUAAUGAUCUGUCCAGUACAUUUGUAGCCAGAUGUUUGUUGUUAAUACUUGAUUCUUU
rnacentral:lncRNA from 1 species